rnacentral:lncRNA from 1 species
AACUAAAAAGUAAAGCAAUAAAAAAGGUAAAAGAAAUCAUAAAAGAAAGGGGGCACACUAUCAGCGCAAGAGGUAGAAGAAUUAAAAAAAACUAAAGGAAAUAAAAGAAAGAACAAAAAUAAAUAAAUAAAGUAAUAAUAAUAAAAUAGUAAAUAAAAAAUAUAUACAAAAGACAAAAAUAGGCUAAAAAUUGGGGGUGUAGCUAGAAAAAUGCUCUAGGCCAAAAGAAGGGAGUCUUACAAGGAUGCAUUGAGCAAUUAGGAGGUGUUAGAGAGACUUCAUCU